UACGUAGGGUGCAAGCGUUGUCCGGAAUUAUUGGGCGUAAAGAGCUCGUAGGCGGUUUGUCGCGUCGGCUGUGAAAACUCGGGGCUCAACCCCGAGCCUGCAGUCGAUACGGGCAGACUAGAGUGCUGUAGGGGAGACUGGAAUUCCUGGUGUAGCGGUGAAAUGCGCAGAUAUCAGGAGGAACACCGGUGGCGAAGGCGGGUCUCUGGGCUGUAACUGACGCUGAGGAGCGAAAGCAUGGGGAGCGAACAGG
rnacentral:rRNA from 1 species